rnacentral:misc_RNA from 1 species
AACGCACGAGACCUGCGGACCUGCGGAGGGAUCAUUCGUGAAGCAGGCGCUCCGUCGCCCUUCUCUACCCUUCAACCAUGUGGUCUUCUGCCAUUGCCUCGGGGGGGUUUGAGGCGGCCUCGGCCGUCGGGGCCCCUUGCUGGGCCCCGCCCCCCCGCGUGCCCUUGAUAAAGUCUUGGAGUGAUAUUUGCGUCUGAUCUGUCCGGUGGACAUAAUGAAAAUAAAACUUUUAACAACGGA